rnacentral:tRNA from 1 species
GGUCUCGUCGCCUAGUGGCUGGGCAGGGCUCUGCAAAAGCCCCUACAGCGGUUCGAAUCCGCUCGAGACCUC